UUACAUAAGGUCAAAUAAAUAGGAGAAAGUGCCGGAGUAUUUGGUCACCGGAGGAACAGGUUUCAUAGCUUCAAACCUUAUCAAGACACGGUGAGAACCUGUGUUAGAGACCCAGGAGAUGAAGGGAAGGUGGGGUUUCUAAAGGAAUUGAAGGGUGCCAAAGAAAAUCUCAAGAUCUUCAAAGCCGAUCUAACCGUUGAAGGAAGCUUUGAUGAUGUUGUCGAUGGCGUUGAUGGAGUUUUCCACACGGCAUCUCCAAUUCUUCUUUCUCCUCAGGACGAAGAUAUUCCGCUCCGACAACAUAGUUUUGUAUAUAUCAACUUAUUCAAGAAUCAAUCAUUGUUUAUAAAACGGGGUUGGUGUUAUU